CAAGAAUACCAUGCCCUUUUUUCUUUGCCGGAGGGUGGGCUUUGGGUUUUAAGCAUGUUGCUGUUGACUGCUUUUGUUGGAUAUUGGGAUGCCUGCAGGUAUCAUUCUGAAUCUGGUUGGCAAACUUUGCUAGAGAUAAUUGUUGAGCACUAUGGGCUUGAAGUUGAUCAGUCAACUAUAACUAUUUUUGUCUGCCUGGUCCCAGUUGUCAUGGAUGCAUGCGUGAAACUUUGGCUGUUUAAAUUCCUCCCACGUUUGUCUCCAAGGGUGACAAAUAUAUUUCAGGAAAUGAAACGACACUAGUCUGGGUACUGCUUCAAGGGCGCCUUUUGUUUGAAAGUGGUCUGUUUUUUUAAAAGAAAGAAGUCUAUGCUGAUUGGCUUUCUUUCAAUUAUAUGGUAGACGACAGCAGUUGAAGGAGUUUCAUUGCGGCCAGCAAAAUCAUCCCUUAAAUCCGACAACAAAUAAAUACAAGCCUUAAAUAUCAUUUUGAUUUUGAAAUUCAACUCUUAUUUGGUUAGAUCCUGGAAUUGGUUUGUUUGAGAUGGAUCUUUAAAAGUAAAUUGGUGUUUCAAAGUUGAAAACGUGAUGAAAUAUAUUUCUGAUGAGGUUGCCUAGCGUACAUUCGGAUGCUUUGAGAGUGGGGACGAUUUUCAUGAGCACCAAGAAUUUCUUCAUCUUCUAAUGGAUGAAAAUGAACCAUGUGAUUGAUUAAUGGGUAAGAAGUUCCAUAUGAAAUGUAUUUGUAUAUGGAAUGACAGGAAUAAAAGAUCAACUUGGCUAAUGGUCAAAUUGAAAUCCAAGUCA